rnacentral:tRNA from 1 species
CUAAGGAUGGUUCUUCAGAAGCUUGCUUCUAUCGAACCGUUUUAGAAACAUCAGUGGCCAACGGUCGUCAGGAUCGUUGAGCUGCAUUGGCGGGAUUUCGCCGUCUUCGUUUCUCUUUCUUCGCGGACGAACACGCGCUGGGGCUGCAACCUUGCAGAAUCCCUGGUCCUUGACUGGAUAUGCGUUAGGGGCUUGUAGCUCAGUUGGUUAGAGCGCGCGCUUGAUAAGCGUGAGGUCGGAAGUUCAAGUCUUCCCAGGCCCACCACACUCAUCGAGUGAGCAUUCGUCUUCUGGUUACGGGGCCAUAGCUCAGCUGGGAGAGCGCGUGCUUUGCAAGCAUGAGGUCGUCGGUUCGAUCCCGUCUGGCUCCACCAGAUGGUUUGAUCACCGACUACUCAUACCGUCGUCCGCGAAACAUCACUUCGCACUUACUAGUCCGGAUGGACAGUAAGCUGCGUGAUUUCUGACAUCGUAAAGAGGAGAUCGAUCCGAGUUGGAUCGGGCAACAAGCAAUUGUUGCGCGAUACUUCAUUAUCUCCGGAUCAUUUCGGCGCUCGUGCGUCUUCCAGGGCAGCUCACAAGGCUGCAUCUGAAGACAAGCGAGUUGUAAAUGAUCCUUUUAGCGAAGCUUGACCGCCUCGCUAUCGGAACGAUCUUACGAAGCAAGCUGGUCUUUCUAAUCAUUGUCCGGCUGCAGAUAGCGUUCAUCGAGGGCGCGUGCCUUAGAGACUUAGGUUUCUUGGUAAUUCUGCAGACAACAUUCUGCCGAGUGUGUGGACAUUGAUAAUGAGAGC